ACACGGGCAAACUUCUGAGCUACCAGCCCAACAGGGGCAUAAAAUGUCCCCGAGAUGACAAAGAAGAGGAGCAGAAGAUGCGUCGGAAGCAAACUAGUACUCAAGAUUGGGAAGAGGAAAUGAUUGUGGGGGAAGAAGCAGAGGAUGACAAAAAAAAAAUGGCUGCUUCAGAUUAUUGACACAGAGGGUGAGGAGGAAGAAAAAGAGGAGGAGCUGUUGGAUGAAAGCUCAGUGAAGAAAAUGAUCCUCACAUUUGAAUAGUGAGCAUAUAAAAACCAAGAAUUGCAGAUUAAGUUUCCAGACAAUCCAGAGAAGUUCAUGGAAUCCCAACUGGACCUACAUGACAUCAUUCAGAAGAGGCAUGUGGUGGCCACCAUGCCAGACCUGUAUCACCUUCUGCUGGAGCUGAAUGCUGUGCAGUCACUUCUUGGGUUGCUUGGACACAAUAAUACAGACGUGUCCAUAGCUGGGGUUGAUUUGAGUCAGGAAUUAACAGAUAUAUAGACAUCUUCUAUGAGAGUAAGAGGGAGCAGAAGUACUCAUUGAUGCUCUGGUGGAUGGGUAGGUGACAGCACUGCUGGUGCAGAACAUGGAGCGCCUGGAUGAGUCUGUGAAGGAGGGGGCCAAUAGUGUCCAUAACACUCUUGUUAUUGUGGGAAACAUGGCUGAGUUCUAGCUGGAAAUGUGUAUGAGAGGUGCCCAGCAGGGUCUUCCUCAGUGGCUGUUGAAGAGGCUGAAGGCAAAGAGGCCUUUUGAUGCCAACAAACUGUAUUGCAGUGAAAUGCAGGCCAUAUUGCUCCAGGACAACGAUGAAAACAGGAAAUUGCUUGGGGAGCUGGAUGGAAUUCAUGCACUUCUUCAGCAGUUAUCUGUGUUUAAAAGACACAAUCCAGCACAGCAAAGGAGCAGGAGAUGAUGGAGAAUCCGUUUGAUUCACUCUGCUUCUAACUAAUGCUCAGUUCCAAUCGUGAGCACUUCCUGAAGGGCAAGGGUCUUCAGUUGAUGAAUCUCAUGCUCAGGGAAAAGAAGAUCUCAUGGAGCAGGGUCCUGAAAGUGCUGAUUGCAUCCAAGGGCGUCUACAACUGUGGUAAAUUUGUUGACAUUCUUGGCUUAUGAACCAUCUUUCCCCUCUUUAUGGAAUUUCCCAGGAAGAUCAAGAAAGUGGGUACCACUGACAGGGAACACAAAGAGCAUGUCUGUUCCAUUCUGACUUUCCUUUUGUGGAAACUGAGAGGACAUCAGCGAACCUGGCUUUUGAAUAAAUUAACUGAAAAUGACAGUGAGUAGGUUGACAGACUCAUGGAGUUGCAUUUUCAAUAUCUGGGUGCAAUGCAGGUGGCAGACAAGAGGAACGAAGGGGAAAAACAUGACAUGGUCCAGUGUGGAGAGAUCAUAGACAGUGACAUGGGGGAUGAGUUCUAACUCUAGUGCUUGGAUGCAGGGCUCUUUGUUCUCCAGUGCAUCUACUGCAUUAUGGCCAAGAUCUGCAAUGCCAAUGUCCCCCAGAUUUGCCCGAGGGUUCACCAGAUCCUAAACAUGUGAAGACGUUCCAUCAAAAUUGUCAGGUGUGUCAUCAAGGGGUAUGCGGAGUUCUGGGAGAAGGAGCAAAAGCACAUCCUGGGCUUGCUUGAAAACUUCUAG